rnacentral:lncRNA from 1 species
CACAACCAAGUGAGCACUGGAAACCUGGUCAUAGGAAAUGAAACAGACUGCUGUUUUCAUGAGUGACCUGUUCUCGAGCCUAAGAAUCUCUUGGGCCACCCAGCCCCACAGAGGCCAGUAGGAGGUCAACUCUCCACCUCCCUAAAAAAAAAAAAAACGAGUGUGCGAGAAGUAUGUUGUAAUUGAAGUAGCAUACUGCCUGACACCCAAGAGGUUGCUCUGUAAGUGAAUUGCCUUUCACCUCCUGCCAUGAUUCUGAGGCCCCCAGCCAUGUGGAACUGUAAGUCCAAUUAAACUUUUUGUUCCCAGUUUCAGGUAUGUUUUUAUCAGCAGCGUGAAAACAAACUGAUACAAAUUAUUAAUAAGCAUGUGUGUUUUAAAUAGUAAAUAAUAAAAAAUAAUUCUUUAGUGAUUUAGUAGAUUUUCUAAUUAAGAACAAUUUAAAAACACAUUAGUAUAUGUAAAGUAACAUGGAAUGUAAAUGCUGAAUUAAGUGAGACAUCAGAAUGGGGCAAAAUUAAUUGGGAAGGCAUUUUUAUGUGGCGAUUUAAAAAUUAUGUUGAAAACUAUAGAAUGCCAGAAAAGAUAGGAUUGUAUUUGACGAAGAGCUCAUGGAACAUGAAAAGACAUAAGGUAGAAAAGAGUUAAUGAGGUUAUCCAAGUUAGAAAGUGAAGCAAUGUUUCAAUUACUAAGGUCUAAAGAGUAGGUAGAAUUCAAUUAUUUCUCCUUUGUAUAAAGUUGAUUUUUCCUUUACUUUGAUGUUUUUCAUUUAUUUUAAUAAGACAUACUAAAAAAGCAGGGUCUUGAUCAUACUAACUAGACCUUUUGAGUGAUUUAACUGCUUAACUGUGGGCAUUGCUUCCAUUCUUGACUUUUUCACUCUAGUUUCCUAUUUUAUAGAAAUAUUUGAACAUAGGAUUUUUAGCAAGUAUUAUCUGAUUAUUAAAUGACAAAUUCAGAACAUUAUUCUAUACCACAGCAAAAAGCUAUGUUUCCUCCCAGAAACACCAAUGAUUCAAUUUGUCGUCUUGGACAACUUACAAACACCUAAACAGCUCACCUGCUGAAAUUCUUACCUUGGACUUUGUGUAGUCAACAUUUGUGUUUCCAUUAAUUUACAUUUUUUAUGUCCAAUUAUUCACUCUCCAUACUUAUUCAAAUUCCCAAGCAACAUAGAUGUUUGGUUACACUCAAUACAUAUAUAUGUAUUUAUGUUAUGUAUAUGUGUAUACAUGUAUAUGUAUUUACGUACAUGCAUGAGUGUAUACAUGUGUAAGAUACAUGUCAUGCGCACAUAUACACAUACUAUAUACACAUGUAUGAGUGUAUACAUGUGUAUGAUACAUGCCAUGCACACAUAUACACAUACUAUAUACAUGUGUACACAUGUAUAUAUAUAGUGAAUAUGAUUUAAAUUUAGUAAGAAAAAUAACUACAUCUAUACAUUAGUUUAAUAGAGCAUCUACUACUGGAAUUGUAAAAUUUCUUUUAAAAUAUUUCAGUUGAUUGCUAGUUUUUAAUAAUAUAAACUGAAGGAAUAUAAAGGAAGGGGCCACAUCAAAACACCACUUAUGCGUCAUUUCAAAUCAGUUAUAUCACUCAAGUUUUCUAAAAUUAUAAGUAAAAUUAAAAAGAGUGGAAAAUACAUCAGAUGUAAAAGAAUGUUUUCAGUUCAAGGACAAAAUUAAUUAUCUAAAUUAUCCCAGCAGGUUUGGUGGUCUUCUUUGUAUGAGCCACCUGCUUUUCCCUUUCUUGUCGCCCUGGCUUUUUACAAUCGUGCCCGUAACCCUGUCAUUGACCAUGUUAUCGUUUAAGAGCUUUGUGAUUUUAGAAGGAUGUGUGUGGGUCAUGUUUAAGCCAUUGUCAGUUGCUAUUAUAAUUACAGUGAUUGUUAUCUAGUGAAAGCUUUGCUGGCAGAAUUCCACCAGAAGGCUAAAACUUGCAUCCAAGUUUUCAUUAAGCUAUUGGGGUUUGUCAUUCUAUUUAAAAUGAGAUUUAAUUCUGUUUUUAUUAAAGUGUAAGCAUUAUUGAAUUCCAUAACUAUCAAAAAGGGCUUUCAAAUUUAUUUAAAAAUCAGUUAACUAAUUAAAGACCGUCACAAACCAGGACAUUAAAUCACAUAUGAUGCAUAUUUGUGAUAUCAGUUCUUAAAACAGGUAUAUACAUAAAAUACAGUAUUAUUUUUCUGAACCAAAUUUUUUUAUGAAACAGAAAAUUUCUGAAACCAUAGACUAUUUGGUUUAAAAAAAAUCAUGUUAUAUAACCCAGCAAUUGAACUCCUUUGUAUUUACCCAAAGGAGUUGAAAACUUACAUCCACACAGAGGGAUCCACUGCACAGGGAGGUUUAUAGCCUUGGGAAGCAGUGGUUGCCAGGGUAUGGGAGGAGGAAGCGAUAAAUAGAUGAAACACAGUGGAGUUCCAGGGCAAGGAAACUGUUUUAUAAGAUACUGUAUUGCUGGAUACAUGUCAUUAUACAUUUGCCCAAACCCAUGAACGGUACAAGAUCAAUAGUCAGCCCUAUGUAAACUAUGGACUUCAGGUGAUUAUGAAAUAUCAGUGUAGGUUUGUUGAUUGUAACAAAUAUACCACUCUUUUUUUUUUUUUUUUUUGAGAUGGAGUCUCCUACAUACCACUCUUAAUGGGGGUUGUUGUUAAGAGGGGAGGCUGCGCAUAUGUGGGGUAGGCAAUAUGUGGGAAAUCUCUAUGUCUUCCUCUUAAUUUUGCUGUGAACCUAAAACUUCUCUUAAAACUAAUGUCUUUUAAUAAAAAAACAUGUUUUACUUUGUGAUCAGUAAAAAUUAUGCCCAAGAUUAUACUUAGAUACAUAACUAGUUACAAAUCAUUACAAUAAUUCCCCUGAGAAAGUUUACUUUUGUUCACUAUUGUUUACAUACAAGAAAAAGUUAAUGGUUUUAUAAGGAAGAUAUUUAGUAAUCAGAAUUGAAUAUGUGUAUACUACAUUUGAUCAGAAAAUACCUAAAAUUAUUACCUGGGAAUAUUGGUUAAUUCAUUCUAUUGUGUAUGCACCCAUGUGUGAUGAAGGGAGAAGGGAGAUGAAAUAAUACCAGCAUCCUGAACCUGAAUGUCCAGCUUCGCCUUGUUCUUUGUGGAUUAUAAGACCAUUGAUUAAAUAAAUCCUUUCAUCAAAAUUAUCUUGUAAGUAGAAGUUCAACAAAUAACUUGCUUCACAUGUGAAGACACAAAAGUACACAAAUCAAAACCAAAAAACCUAAGGCUACCUGAUGGCAAGAUAACACUUGGAGAGCUAGAAACGCGAGGUUUUUAUUUUUCUGUAUCUAGCGUUUAUAUCGACUUCCAAAAUUGGUUGUUUGUAUCCUAGUCUGUAAAAUGGUGCGGAUAUAAAUUAAACUUAGGAGAGUGUUGUGAUGUUUUCACCAGUAAACACUUAGGUCCAAGAAUGAAGGAGAACUAAUACAUAUUCACUGUCUAAUAUAUACCAACACUAAGCAUAUAUGUGAUGAUAUUUAAUGUCCUUGGCCACUCCUCAGACUUCCUGGAUGUGUCUCCUCUCACAAGUGGAAUUUAUAAAUAGCAAGGGAUGGUUGAUUUUUAACCCCAGUUCAAGAAAGCUAAGUUAAAUGCUCUGUAAGGACUCUAAACGUGAGUCAUUAAUAAAACAAUUGCUGAUAUAUUAGAAGAGUACAAACUAGGAUCACCUAGUCAAGAGUGAAUUAUUUUUAUAAGCAAUGAUGUUUAGGUUUUACAAAAUUACAAACAAUUUAUUUCAUAGUCUAUCCUUGUUAUAAAAUGAACAAAACAUAAUCUUUAAUUAUUAAACAAAUUUAGAGAUCAAAUAGAUAAGCUUUACAUUUAGCAACUGCACCAACUGGCAGACAUUUGGGCUACACUGACAAUAUGUGAAAUAUGUGCUCAAGUGUAUAUUUAAUAAAACACAAGGAUUUUAUGGUAUAAUGCAUUGUGUUAAUGCAUUUGGUUGGUUCCAGUGUGAACUACAUAUACUGUAUUCAUUUCAACAGUAAACUUCCUAAAUAAAACACACAAACAUUUAAGCAACAUAUAGCAUUAUGACGUUACCCUUAAAAUAAUCUCUAAUACAGUAUUUUAAAUCCAUAUUCCAGAAAAAAGAAACUACCAUCUAAAUCCAGUUAUUCCAUCUGACUUGGUAGCAGUGAUGUUUGGAGUUUAGGACCUAAAGGUGAAAUGGGGAAAAUCUGGGUGCUCGGAAAGACACCAGAAGCACACAGAAGAAGAUCAUAUGAAGACACAACAAGAAGGUGACUAGCUGCAAGCCAAGAAGAGAAGCCUCAGAAGAAAUCAAACGUACUAGCACCUUGAUCUUGGAAUUCCAGUCUCCAAAGCUGCGAGAAAAUAAAAUUCUGUUGCUUAAGCUGCCAAGACUAUGGUAUUUUCUUAUGGCAAUCUUAGCAAAAUAACCCUAUUAGCAAACAAAUGCAUACAAAAUCUCUGUAAAUACAGCAGGUUUCCUUUUUAAAAAAACUCUUUAUUUUGAAAAAUUAUAGUUCUACAACAAAUAAUAAAAAAGAUAUACAGGAUGGUCCUAUUUACUCUUGACUCAGUUUCCCUUAUAGUAACAUCUUAUAUAACUACUAGGAAAAUGAUGUUGAUACAUUCCACAUAUCUUGUUAAAAUUUAACCAGUUUUACAUGUAUUAGUUUGUUCUAUGCAAUUUUCUUGCAUGUGUAGACCCAUGUUACCACUACCAUAGAGAAAAUCCAGAAUCAUUCCAUCACCAGAGGCUCCUUCAUGCUGUCUCUUUAUACUCAUUCUUACCUCUUUCUCUAGCUCAUCCCUAACCCCUCACAACCAUUAAUCUGUUCUCCAUCUCUACAACCCUGUUAUUUCAAGAAUGCCAUAUAAUGAGAAUCAAAAUUAAGUGAACUUUUGGGACUAUUUUCACUCAGAAUAAUUCUCUUGAAAUUCAGCCAAGUUAUUGUGUGCAACAAUAACUCAUUCCUUCUUAUUGCGGAGUAGUAGUCCAUGAUAUGGAUGCACUACAGGUUCCUUAACCACUUACUAGGAUAUUACAGUUGUUUACAGUUUGAAGCUAUUAUGACUAAAGCUGACGCUCACAUUUAUAUAUAAGUUUUUAUACAGAAAUAUGUCUCCAUUUCUCUGGAAAAAAAAUCCCAAGGGUACAAUUGCCGAGUCAAAUGUUAAGUGAAUGUUUACUUUAAAAGUGUUAUAUUGUUUUUUAGAGUGGGUGUACCAUUUUACAUUACCAUCAGCAAUGUAUAAGAGGUCCUGUUUCUCAGUAUCAGGCAAUAGAUAAUGUAUGUGCCAUGUAUACGUUUCCAGAACAUGAAAGUAUAGGAAUCUUCUUUUAUUUUAUUAUGUUAGCAUACCCUUCACACUCAAACCUAGCUGUGUGCUGAAAAGGUGAUUCUCUGGAAUUUAAGGAACUUAAAACCCCUGAUUUAUAGCAACUGCAUAUUUUCCAGUUGUGGCUAUUUCCCACCGUGGUUUUCAAACUACCCACAUGACUUAAUUGAAAGUGAAUUAAGGAAAAAAAUACUCACAAGUAGUUCUCACACAGUUCUCACUGGCACAAGCCAGUUCCAGCACACUGCUGCACAUACACAAACAUAUGCACACAUGCAUACACACAUAUAUACACACAUGCAUAUUCACAGACACAUAAAAACACAGAUGCAUAGAGACACCAGAUUUAUCUCCUUCAUUCGUACAGAUGGACCAUUAAAUAAGAUGACAAGAUGAAUUUAAUAGCAUGACAUAAUCAAAUAUAGAGACAGAUAUAAAAUACAUAGAGUAUGAAACUAUGAAACAAUUUUGGAAAUAAAAGUGUAUAUUAAUGUGCAAAUAUAUGUAUAGAAUAUGAGACUGAAAACACCAAAAUGUUGAUACUGUUUAUUUCUGGGUAGUUGGAUGACAAGUGAAUUUAGUUUUUCUGAUUGUGCUUUUCUUUAUCUUUAAGGAACAUGUUUUCUUUUAAUCAGAAAGAAAUAAUUACAUAUAUAUGUAAUUAACAUAUAUUGUAUAAUAUAUAUCACAUAUAUUCCACAUAUAUGGAAUAUAUAUUGUGUUUUAAAGUUUAAAAUGUGAGGAGACCACGUCAAUGAGGAACUUGGAACCAAGUAAAACAUGGAUGGAUAUGUGACAAUAUUGUGGAAUAGAGUGAAAAUUCAGCUCAGAAAUAGUGAAGCUUAUUUUAAAUGGAAACUAAAAUAAGAUCAUGUGGAUUAAAUUAGAGAUAUUUCCAGGAGAAGAUAUGUUUGAGCAUAACUUUCCUCUCCUCCCUAUCUGAGGAAAAUUCUGGAAGAGACUUCAUACGUAUCUAUAUUUGUAUCUAUGUCAGAAAAGGAGAGAAGUAAGGCCUGGGAGGCAGCUUGCUGUUGUGAAAGGAAAAUGAAGUCAGAUGAUCCUUAAUUUGGAUACUCUUUCUUACCAUUUGGGGCAAGUUACUUCCUCAAAGCCUCAAUUUCUUCUUCUCUAGCAUGAGAUUAAUAUUUGUGAUUCAUCAGAAGGUUAAACAAAGCAAUUUUUACAAAGUAAAAAGCAAAUUUUACAAAGAAGGCUUUCAUUUUGUUCUGUCCUAUUUUAUUCUAAAUUAUGGUAUGUUACCCAAAUCCCAGUGGGAGCUUUUGUGAGUGAAUGACAUUAAAAAAUUACUGGAACAGGAAAUAUUUCCCUUUAAUGAACUAGAUGAGAUUUUUUAAAAAAAAACCACUAAUUAUGUAUUUUACAUUAUGGAAACAGAGAUUAUAUAAUGAUAAAAAGAUGUGUAUUAUAUUUUAAAAAAUAGUUACAAAAAGUAAAUCUUUUGUUUUCAUGUGAUCCAUUCAUUUGUCCAUUAUUCAACAGAUAUUUAUACAAUACUAAUUCAGUGAAAACCAGCAUUAGCUUAGGAGAAAGUAUUAGGAAGUACAAGAUUAAUGACAUCUGGGACCAAGAAAUUUUCAGUAAAAUCAAUGAAUGGCAUUUUGCUUAUUUCGGAACAGCAAAAUAGAAAUAGUCAAUACUAUAGUCUCUGCAUCUAGUCCUUCUGUGUGAAUAUGUAUCUAGAGGCUUAUGCAAAAUAAUGCCUAAGGUUAGGACAAGCACUUUUAUUCAGCUGAUAAUAAAAUAUAUAAAGUGUACAAUGAAUAUCCAAAUGUAUAAUAAUCUAAUCCAGAAUUACUCAAUCUAUGAAUUAUUAAGAUAUGGUAAGGACAAGAUUAAAACUAUGUUUUUCUGCCUGGCUGUCUUUAAACUAUUGUUACAUGGCAACCCUUUAACAACCCAGUAGUUAGCCAUGAUCAUUGUAUUAGGCUGCUUGGGUUGCUGUAACAAAAUGUUAAUACCAUAGACUGGGUGGCUUAAAUAACAGACCUUUAUUUCUCACAGUUCUGGAGGUUGGGAAGUCCAAGAUCAAGGUGCUGGCCAAUUCUGUUCCUGCCUCUCUUUUCUGGCUUAUAUAUUUCUGCCUUUUUGCCGUGUCCUUGCAAGGCAGAGAAAUAUCUUCUCCUACUCCAAUUCUUCCUUCUACUCCUUCUUUUUCUUCAUAAGCCACUAAUCCUAUCAUGACAGCCCUAUUCUCAUUACCUCAUUCAACCUUAAUUAUCUCCCAAAGGGCCCACAUCCAAAUACCGUCAUAUUGAGGGUUAAGGCUUCAACAUCUGAGUUUUGGGGGAGACACAAUUUGGUCCAGAGCAACCAUCAUUUUGCUAAUGCCAUCUGGCUUGUGAAAUAUUAAUAGCAAGUCUAAGACUUUUCUCAAUAUUCAAAGAGGAAGGCUCAAAGAGAUUUUGAUAGUUUUUGGUUGUUUGUGAAUAUAUACAAGCUGAAUAGAAGUUUCAGUGUAAGGAUGGUAUCACACCCUUUCUCACCACCUACUCCCAAAUUUUGAAAGCCAUUACUUGAGAAAUAGACAUCCUCUUGGUGUUGUCAAUGUUCCUGAAUACACAAUAAUUGUUAAUACAUUUUGCAAAGAGAAUAUGCACCGUUGAAAGGGAAUAUUACUUAUUCAUUCAUUCAAAAAAUUAUUGAGCGCUGCUAUUUUCCAAGCACUUUUCUGAAUGCUAAGAAUAUAGGAAUAAUCAAAAGAGAAAAAGUCUCUUCUCUCAAAGAGCAUAUUGCCUUGUGUUGGAGGCAAACCAUAAUUAAACAGACAAGUGAAUAUCUAGUUUGUCAGAUAAUGAUUAGUCCUAUGGAGAAGUAUAAAGCAGGAUACAGGAAAUGGGGAGGGCUGGUAGGUGGGGAGAAGAGUGGUUAUUUUAUGUAGGUAAACAGGGAACCUGAAGUAAAUAAGGGAGUGAGCCAUGCUGAUGUCAGGAGAAAAGUUUCAGAAGGUGAGGAGAACAAAUGCAGAGGCCACAAGGUGAGAGAAUGCUUAGGUGUAUGAAAGACAGCAAGGAGCCCAGUGUAUAUAGACCAACUGAACCAGAGGAAGAAUCAUAGGAGGUGAGAACGGUAAUGUAGGGGAAGAUUACGCUAAACCCUGUAUGUUAUUGUAAGAAUUUUAGCUUUUGCUGGGAGUGAGAUAGGCUACUGAAGGUUUAUGAGCAGAGGAAUCUUAUCAGAUUUAGGUUUUAAAAGUGAAAUGUGUUGGUUGUAGAAACAGCUGACUUUAGAUGGAUAAGGCAGAAAAAGUGAGAUUAAUUGCAAGAUCGUUGCAAUAAUCUAGGAGUUAAAUGGAGGUUGAAUGAAUAAGGGAGAAUGGAAGGGUGAGUGAGAAGGAAUCAGGUUUUAGAUACAUUUAGAAGAAAGAGCUAGAGCCAGCUGACAGCAUUUGCUAAUGGAUUGCAUAUGAAAGAAAGAAGUCAAGGAUAAUCCAAGUUAUUUGGUAUGAACAACGGAGAAACGAAGUUGCCAUUUGUAAAAUAAGUAAGGCUGAGGAAGGAGCAGGUUUGGGGAAAAUGGGAAAUUGAAGUCAAUUCCAGAUCAGUUAUGUUUGAGAAGCCAAUUAGAUACACACAAGGAAAUUCUGAGGAAGGAGUUAGUAUUAUUAAUUUCACUUUAGGAGAGAGAUAUGGGAUUGAGUUUGACGGUGAGUAGUUGUCACUUACAGAUGAUACAUCAAAUCACGUGACAGGAUGAGAUCCUAGAAAGUGAAUGCAAUUACAAAAGGAAUGAGGUCCGAGAAAACCUACUUGGGGCAUUCUAAAGUCAGUGGUCUGAGCGGUCAGAAGGAAUUUACAAAGGAACUGAGAAGAAGAGCCAAUGAGAAAGGGAACUUCUUUUUUUUCACAGUGAGUGCUUGUGAACUUUAAAGGAAUGUGUGAUGAGGAGACUUUUUUUUUAAAUAACUGGAAUUAUAUCUUUCUUUUCUAAUGGUCUAGUAGGAAAAACUGUUUCCUUUAGGGGAGAGGGCAAUUGCUGGAGUAAUAUCCUUAAGUAAUAUCACAAUUUAUUUAUAGUAACAGGAGAGAAUGUCAGGUAUUCAGGUGCAUAGGCAGAUAGAUUGGUACAUGUGGUUGUGGGAGCAUGAGGAACUUCUCUCUUCUUUCUUUUUAAUUCUCACUGACGCAGGAAGUAGACUCCUUGCUGGCAUGACUAUGAAGGCAGAAGAUUAAAGGUUUUUUUCUUUUUUUAAUUUAAAAUUUUUAAUUUUUGUGAGUACAUGGAAGAUUAAAAUUUGAAGAAGACAGCUUAGAAAUCUGGGAAAAUAGACCAUCCUGGCUAACACAGUGAAACCCCUUCUGUACUAAAAAUGCAAACAAUUAGCUGGGUGUGGUGGCGGGCGCCUGUAGUCG